rnacentral:rRNA from 1 species
GGACCAAGGAGUCUAGCAUGUGCGCGAGUCAUUGGGACUUAACUAAACCUAAAGGCGCAAUGAAAGUGAAAGUUUGUGCUUGCACAAACUAAGGAAAGAUAGGUGUUUGCAAUCAUUUGAUUGUCGCCUCGCAUUUCCAGGGCGUCUCGUUCUUUCAUUUAUGAAAGGAGGCGCACCAAGAGCGUACACGCUGGGACCCGAAAGAUGGUGAACUAUGCCUGGUCAGGACGAAGUCAGGGGAAACCCUGAUGGAGGUCCGUAGCGAUUCUGACGUGCAAAUCGAUCGUCGGAACUGGGUAUAGGGGCGAAAGACUAAUCGAACCAUCUAGUAGCUGGUUCCCUCCGAAGUUUCCCUCAGGAUAGCUGGCGCUCGUUGCAUACGAGUUUCAUCCGGUAAAGCGAAUGAUUAGAGGCAUUGGGGUCGAAACGGCCUCAACCUAUUCUCAAACUUUAAAUGGGUGAGAUCUCCGGCUUGCUUAAAAUAAAAUUUAUUUUUAUCUGAAGCCGGAGACUUGAAUCAGAGUGCCAAGUGGGCCAUUUUUGGUAAGCAGAACUGGCGCUGUGGGAUGAACCAAACGCUGAGUUAAAGCGCCUAAAUCGACGCUUAUGGGAUACCAUGAAAGGCGUUGGUAACUUAAGACAUCAGGACGGUGGCCAUGGA